GGACAUUUGAUGAUGAUCCGAUGGCCAGAAAAUUUGUUUACGCUUGGACAUGCUUGGGACACAAAUUUGAGAGGAAUUAAGAGUCUGUGGAUGACUAGGACUCAGGGAAACUCCACAGGCUAUAAAAAUGAGGGGACAGUGGACAAGAGAAGCAGUAAGUAGUGGGCAGCCACAAAAAUUCUUUUUUCUUUAUUUUAUUUUGAUUUUAUUUUAGGAUUUGAAGAGAGAGUGGAGAAGAAAAAGAUUGCUUCAGAAAGAGGAG
rnacentral:lncRNA from 1 species